UCAAAAUAAACAUCGUCAUCUUCAUCCUCAUUUGUGUCGGAAGUGGUGGUAUCGGAGUUGGAACAAAAAGGGCAGGGCCUGAAUUUGGAGAAAAGAAGCCUGGGAUAGGGAGUUGAGAGGAAAAGUGAGGCGGUGGUUUUGACGGAGAGGAAGAGGUCAGUGGCGGGAGAAGAGUCGACAUGGA